CGGAUGCGGAUCUCGAAAGCCUGUCCCAGUUCGGACUGGAGUUUGCAACCCGACUCCACGAAGUUGGAUUCGCUAGUAAUCGCGCAUCAGCCAUGGCGCGGUGAAUACGUUCCCGGGCCUUGUACACACCGCCCGUCAAGCCAUGGGAGCCGGGGGCGCCUGAAGUCCGGGACCGCGAGGACCGGCCUAGGGCGAAACUGGUAACUGGGGCUAAGUCGUAACAAGGUAUC
rnacentral:rRNA from 1 species